CUUAUGCUAUGUCCACACACAGAGACACAUCAUGCAGCAGGUUGAAAUGAAAUACACACUUGUUUAUUUCUGUUUAUUCAAGCUGUAAUGUGAUAGUGGGUGCUGGAUUUGAAAUGAACAUGGGUACAAUGGGAUCCAGAAUCUCAACUUUUAAGCAAUGAUUAAGUGAGAAAUGCCUGAAUAAAUUAGCUAGAGACUGAGACAAAACAUUCUGUGCAGCAAAAUAAACAGGUAUAUUAAUAUAUCAUGAAUACAUCAUUGAUAUAUAAAAUGCAUUAAUAUAUUAAUUAUAAAUCUGAUAUAUUAGUAGUAUGCAAGUACAUUGGUGAGCAACAACCUGGAGCAUCAUCAAUACUGCGGUACUAAAUAAUUUCAAGGAAACCAUCUGAAUGAGUUUAACACAUCAAUGGCUUCUUUACCCGCACAUCAAUAUUCCAAUAUUAAUCUGAAUUUGGCAAAAUUCUAAAUAGUACUGAGUCGUGAUUCAGAUUAAGACAAUAUUCUGAUCCCCCAAAUGUUUAAUUCCUCCCCUGGAAUAUGCCUGUUUUAAUCAGAAAUUUGUUGCAUGUAAAUACCUUAUUCAGAAAAUCCACUGAAAGGAGAUAUAUGCUCAUGUUCAGUUCACAUGGAAUUGUGGGUGCUUAGCUGUAGGCUCGGUAUUUAGGAACAGCAACUCAGGCAUACUUACAACAACCAUGUAUACAGGAAUAUUCCGAUGCCCGUACGCAUAUAAAUAUCGUAUUCAGAAUAUGGCUGCAACCCGAAUAUAGACCUUAAACAGAAUCUGAUGUGCGUGUAAACGUAGCCAUUGACACUAUAUGAUGUGUCCACCACACCAGCAUGAUCUGUAGAUAUCUGGCAUUUAUUUCUUUGAUUAAUGCAGAUCACAACAAUGAUUUGGCCAAAAAUUAAAUCCAUACCAUUUUCAAUCAAUCAAUCAUCCAAGACACAUUUUUAGGGCUGAAAAGGCAAAUUAACUGAAGAGGAAAUGCUGACUAUAAAUGCUGAAUAUGUCAGUGUACAUUCCUUCAAAAGUACAAAUAUGGCAAACAUUUUGAAGAGAUGGCAGCAGUGGUGCAUUUUUAAAGUGUGUCCUUCUGAAAGCACAUUUAGAAUCUAAUCUGACAUCAAUACGUUUGGCAACCAGUACCCUCCUGUGUUAAUGAAUGUGGUUUUUAUUUGCCAUCUAAGAUAGGGGUUCCCAAAAUUUUUCAGGGAAAGGCCCCCCAAAUGGCAUUAACAUUUGACCGAGGCCCCCCUUUUGCAAGAUGUCUUUAAAACACAUUAAAAAUACGGACUUCUGAAUAUACCCCCCCCCCCCCUUUUUAUUAAUAAUUACCUCUUUCAUCUUUACAUUACAUUACAUUAGGAAUUGACUGUGUGUGUGUGUGGUUGCCUGAGAGAGAGAGAAUCAUGUAUUUAUUUAUUUUUCACACCAAAUUGUUGAGGCCCCCCAGGCGCCCCCUGGCGGCCCCCAAGGGAGCCGCGGCUCCCACUUUGAAAACCACUGAUCUAAGCUUCAGACAUCAUCGCCCGCACCCACCCAUAUGAAAUUUUUUUGUUGGGAAAAAAAGGAUUUCAUCUUUGGUCAAACUACAACACUUGUUAA
ensembl:lncRNA